rnacentral:rRNA from 1 species
CCUUGCCAGCCCGCUCAGAACUUACGGAAUUGACGGGGCCCGCACAAGCGGUGGAGUAUGUGGUUUAAUUCGAUGCAACGCGAAGAACCUUACCUGGUCUUGACAUCCCGGAGACCCUUAGGAAACUAGGGGGUGCUUUCCCAUCUGGAAGAAUCUGGAGACAGGUGCUGCAUGGCUGUCGUCAGCUCGUGUCGUGAGAUGCUGGGUUAAGUCCCGCAACGAGCGCAACCCUUGCCUUUAGUUGCCAGCAGUUCGGCUGGGCACUCUAAAGGGACUGCCGGUGUUAAACCGGAGGAAGGUGGGGAUGACGUCAAGUCCUCAUGGCCUUUAUGACCAGGGCUACACACGUACUACAAUGGCCGAUACAAAGGGCAGCGACACUGCGAGGUGAAGCCAAUCCCGUAAAAUCGGUCUCAGUCCGGAUUGGAGUCUGCAACUCGACUCCAUGAAGUUGGAAUCGCUAGUAAUCGUGGAUCAGCAUGCCACGGUGAAUACGUUCCCGGGCCUU